rnacentral:tRNA from 1 species
GCCUUCGUGGUGCAGUGGUCAGCACGCUGGGUGUGCAUUCGCGAGGUCCGUGGUUCGAGUCCUGGCGAGAGCA